CAUGAAAGCUGACUCACCUUCGCAGCAGAAGAUCAUGAUUCUUGGCUAUGCAAACCUGAGGCUGAUGCAUCCUCCAGCAGCUGACCACGGACAUGUGCAGCAUCACAGUGACAGAUGGCAUUUCAACCACUUGGUUUACACCUUCCUCCACUGUCACCACCAUUCUGACAGAAAUGAGUUCCAUUUGCUCCAUUUUACAUAAGGGCAAAAGGCAGCAUUGACUCACCAAGUUUACACAGUUAGGGAAAAGAGCAACCAGGUCAGGAUCAGAUACAACAAAGAAGUGAUUGCAGAUGUUAAAUGGAACAUAGCUCUGGUCGUUUGAUAAAUAUUCAGUAAUUUCUUCAGUUUGUUAAGAAAAAUUAUCCAAAAUUUACAAUUACAGAGGAAGCAAAAUUUUACCUGUACCCUAUUUUUUUUUUUCUGGGGCUAAGAAUUAAAUUGACUUAAGACAGACAUAAGACAGAUCAACAGCAGAAGAACAAAUUUACUUAAUACAAGUUUUACAUGGCAGGAGAGACUACAUAAGGAAAUGCAGACCCAAAGGCACAGUUAGAUUGAACACUUACAUACAGAAUUAAAGAGUCAUGAAUUGUGAAAAUGUCACAAGGCCAAGAAGCUUGGGCUGAGUGGUUAAUUGAGUGAAAAAGUGGCUCGGAAGGUAUCUCCGCCCUAUGAAGGCCUUGAUGGGGAGCAACUCAGGCCUUGAAGGUAAAUGUCCUGUCCCACAGGUGCCAUGAGCUCCGGGAAGUAGAGACGUGAUCAGACUCCCCUGCUACAGCCUUGUACUUGUCACCGAAGGGAGAUGUGCAGGUGCAAGCCCGACCAAGGGACACCUCCGUGGCCAUGACAGCUUUUCUUCUUAAAAGAAAAAACCGGACCGUGGGUUCAGAAAUCCAAAUCCAUUUGUUUAUACUCGAUUCAUACCAAAGACUACAAAAUAUACUUGUUAAU
rnacentral:lncRNA from 1 species